ACAACUAGGAUGUUGGCUUAGAAGCAGCCACUCAUUUAAAGAGUGCGUAAUAGCUCACUAGUCAAGAGAUCCUGCGCCGAAGAUGUCCGGGGCUCAAACUUACCACCGAAGCUAUGGGUGUACACUACGUGUACGCGGUAGAGGAGCUUUCUGUAUGGGUUGAAGUCGUACCGUAAGGAGCGGUGGACUGUACAGAAGUGAGAAUGCUGGCAUAAGUAGCGAGAAAUAAGUGAGAAUCUUAUUGGCCGAAAACCU
rnacentral:rRNA from 1 species